rnacentral:rRNA from 1 species
UACGUAGGGGGCUAGCGUUGUCCGGAUUUAUUGGGCGUAAAGAGCGUGUAGGCGGCCGUGUAGGUCCGGUGUGAAAGUCCAGGGCUCAACCCUGGAAUGCCGGUGGAUACUGUCGGGCUCGAGUCCGGAAGAGGCGAGUGGAAUUCCUGGUGUAGCGGUGAAAUGCGCAGAUAUCAGGAGGAACACCAAUGGCGAAGGCAGCUCGCUGGGACGGUACUGACGCUGAGACGCGAAAGCGUGGGGAGCAAACAGG